rnacentral:rRNA from 1 species
GACGAACGCUGGCGGCGUGCUUAACACAUGCAAGUCGAACGGAGUGGCGAACGGGUGAGUAUUACGUGAGUAACCUGCCCUCAACUGUGGGAUAAGCCUGGGAAACUGGGUCUAAUACUGCAUAGUUGGGGAUGGGCUACCGGCCUAUCAGCUUGGUGGUGGGGUGCUGGCCUACCAAGGCGGUGACGGGUAGCCGGCCUGAGAGGGGGGUCGUCCAGAUUUGGAAUGGGAUGCGGCCCAGAAGCCUACGGGGGGCAGCGGUGGAGGGUAUUGCACAAUGGGCGCAAGCGUGAUGCAGCGACGCCGCGUGAGGGAUAAAGGCUUUCGGGUUGUAAACCUCUUGCGGUACUGAACGGUUAUGUGCAGAGUAAGCGCCGGCUGACUACGUGCCAGCAGCCGCGGUAAUAC